AGGACGAACGCUGGCGGCGUGCUUAACACAUGCAAGUCGAGCGGAAAGGCCCUUCGGGGUACUCGAGCGGCGAACGGGUGAGUAACACGUGAGUAACCUGCCCCUAGCUCUGGGAUAGCUCCGGGAAACCGGGAUUAAUACCAGAUACGACCACUUUAGACAUCUGUCGUGGUGGAAAGGAUUCCGGCUAGGGAUGGGCUCGCGGCCUAUCAGCUUGUUGGUGGGGUAACGCCUACCAAGGCGACGACGGUAGCCGGCCUGAGAGGGCGACCGGCCACACUGGGACUGAGACACGGCCCAGACUCCUACGGGAGGCAGCAGUGGGGAUAUUGCGCAAUGGGCGAAAGCCUGACGCAGCGACGCCGCGUGGGGGAUGAAGGCCUUCGGGUUGUAAACCCCUUUCAGCAGGGACGAAGCGAAAGUGACGGUACCUGCAGAAGAAGCGCCGGCUAACUACGCGCCAGCAGCCGC
rnacentral:rRNA from 1 species